rnacentral:rRNA from 1 species
UACGUAGGGGGGCAAGCGUUGUCCGGAAUCAUUGGGCGUAAAGGGCGUGUAGGCGGUUUGUUAAGUCAUGUGUGAAAUCCCUCGGCUCAACCCGGAGACGCCACCUGAUACUGCUGUGGCUAGAGUCCAGUAGGGGAGCGUGGAAUUCCCGGUGUAGCGGUGAAAUGCGCAGAUAUCAGGAGGAACACCGGUGGCGAAGGCGGGUCUCUGGGCCGAUACUGACGCUGAGGAGCGAGAGCGUGGGGAGCGAACAGG